UCUGAAAUAAAAAAGGUAAUACUUAUUAGGAAACCUUCACCCCUUGGCGGCCUUAUUUCUUAUCGAAGGAACUUGUCCUUUAAUCGAAAUUACCCGUUAGUUUUCUCUUUUAUCUUGUUUUUAUACCGUCGUCUUAAGAAUAUUGUUUAAUAAAUUAUACUUAAUUGAGCAAUCAACAAAGUCAGAUCAAGGUGAAGUUUAUAUAAAAGUUCAGGGUGAGUUAUGCAUAAGUACUACUAAAGGAUUAAUCUUAAAAAAGCUUAUAAAAUUAAGAUUCAACAGUACCUAAAAAUUAAAAUUUUUAAGGGAAGAAGUAAAAAAAGGUGU
rnacentral:rRNA from 1 species